AACGCAAAUUGCGCUCCUUGGUAUUCCGAGGAGCAUGCCUGUUUGAGUGUCAUGAAAUCAUCCACCUCACCUUUGGGCUUUUGUCCUCAGGUCCGGCUGGGACUUGGGUGCUUGCGCGUUGAAUAGACACGCUCACCUUAAAAACAUUGUUACUUGAUCCUGUCCACUGACCGGUUUGACUAGGCGUUAUAAGUUAUUUCGCUUAGGACACUCGCAAGGGUGGCCGUUCGGUAGCAGGUUCUUGCCCUAUAGUGCGCCACACGUAGACGGGGCUACAAUUCUUGACAUCUGGCCUCAAAUCAGGUAGGACUACCCGCUGAACUUAA
rnacentral:sRNA from 1 species